rnacentral:rRNA from 2 species
GAUGAACGCUGGCGGCGUGCCUAAUACAUGCAAGUCGAACGAGUUCUCGUUGAUGAUCGGUGCUUGCACCGAGAUUCAACAUGGAACGAGUGGCGGACGGGUGAGUAACACGUGGGUAACCUGCCCUUAAGUGGGGGAUAACAUUUGGAAACAGAUGCUAAUACCGCAUAGAUCCAAGAACCGCAUGGUUCUUGGCUGAAAGAUGGCGUAAGCUAUCGCUUUUGGAUGGACCCGCGGCGUAUUAGCUAGUUGGUGAGGUAAUGGCUCACCAAGGCGAUGAUACGUAGCCGAACUGAGAGGUUGAUCGGCCACAUUGGGACUGAGACACGGCCCAAACUCCUACGGGAGGCAGCAGUAGGGAAUCUUCCACAAUGGACGCAAGUCUGAUGGAGCAACGCCGCGUGAGUGAAGAAGGCUUUCGGGUCGUAAAACUCUGUUGUUGGAGAAGAAUGGUCGGCAGAGUAACUGUUGUCGGCGUGACGGUAUCCAACCAGAAAGCCACGGCUAACUACGUGCCAGCAGCCGCGGUAAUACGUAGGUGGCAAGCGUUAUCCGGAUUUAUUGGGCGUAAAGCGAGCGCAGGCGGUUUUUUAAGUCUGAUGUGAAAGCCCUCGGCUUAACCGAGGAAGCGCAUCGGAAACUGGGAAACUUGAGUGCAGAAGAGGACAGUGGAACUCCAUGUGUAGCGGUGAAAUGCGUAGAUAUAUGGAAGAACACCAGUGGCGAAGGCGGCUGUCUGGUCUGUAACUGACGCUGAGGCUCGAAAGCAUGGGUAGCGAACAGGAUUAGAUACCUGGUAGUCCAUGCCGUAAACGAUGAAUGCUAGGUGUUGGAGGGUUUCCGCCCUUCAGUGCCGCAGCUAACGCAUUAAGCAUUCCGCCUGGGGAGUACGACCGCAAGGUUGAAACUCAAAGGAAUUGACGGGGGCCCGCACAAGCGGUGGAGCAUGUGGUUUAAUUCGAAGCAACGCGAAGAACCUUACCAGGUCUUGACAUCUUUUGAUCACCUGAGAGAUCAGGUUUCCCCUUCGGGGGCAAAAUGACAGGUGGUGCAUGGUUGUCGUCAGCUCGUGUCGUGAGAUGUUGGGUUAAGUCCCGCAACGAGCGCAACCCUUAUGACUAGUUGCCAGCAUUUAGUUGGGCACUCUAGUAAGACUGCCGGUGACAAACCGGAGGAAGGUGGGGAUGACGUCAAAUCAUCAUGCCCCUUAUGACCUGGGCUACACACGUGCUACAAUGGAUGGUACAACGAGUUGCGAGACCGCGAGGUCAAGCUAAUCUCUUAAAGCCAUUCUCAGUUCGGACUGUAGGCUGCAACUCGCCUACACGAAGUCGGAAUCGCUAGUAAUCGCGGAUCAGCACGCCGCGGUGAAUACGUUCCCGGGCCUUGUACACACCGCCCGUCACACCAUGAGAGUUUGUAACACCCGAAGCCGGUGGCGUAACCCUUUUAGGGAGCGAGCCGUCUAAGGUGGGACAAAUGAUUAGGGUGAAG